rnacentral:rRNA from 1 species
UGCACGAAAGUGUGAACGGGCUACCCCGAGUGCCGUCCGCUGAGGAUGGCUUUUCUCUGCUGUAAGAAAGCGGAGGAAUAAGGAGAGGGCAAGUCUGGUGUCAGCCGCCGCGGUAAUACCAGCUCUCCGAGUGGUAGGGAUGAUUAUUGGGCCUGAAGCGUCCGUAGCUGGCCUCUCAAGUCUCUUGUUAAAUCCAGCGAUUCAAUCGUUGGACUGCAGGAGAUACUGCAAGGCUAGGAGGCGAGAGAAGCCGACGGUAUUCUCGGGGUAGGGGUAAAAUCCUAUAAUCCCGGGAAGACCACCAGUGGCGAAGGCGGUCGGCUAGCGCGCGCUCGACAGUGAGGGACGAAAGCUGGGGGAGCGAACCGGAUUAGAUACCCGGGUAGUCCCAGCUGUAAACGAUGCGGGCUAGGUGUUGAAGCGGCCACGAGCCGCUUCAGUGCCGCAGGGAAGCCGUUAAGCCCGCCGCCUGGGGAGUACGGCCGCAAGGCUGAAACUUAAAGGAAUUGGCGGGGGGGAGCAC